GGGCGGUUCGUCAGGUCGGGCGGCGGCGGCUCCCGGGGCCUCCGCCCGCAGCCGGCGGCAGAGCGGAGGCAGGCGGCUGAGACGGGCGAGCCAUUUGCAUUCGCCGGCAGUCAUUUUUAUACGCGGAGGUAAUGAAGUUGUCAGCGGCGCCCGGAGUGUGCCGGAGCCUGAUAUUCAAAUAGACCUGCCCGACUCGCCCAGCCUCCCGCCCCCGCCCCCCGCCGGCCUGCGAGUCCCCGGAUGAGCGCGCGCCGCCCGCCCCCUCCCCGACGGCCGCGGGCGCUUUGUUUGCAGGGGCGCCGCUUCCCCGCGCCCCGCGCCCGCUCCGGCCGGAGCCCCGCCCUCGCCCUCUUCCCUUUCUCUCCCCGCGCCUUUGUCUCCGCCUCCCUCCCGCUUUGUGUCUCUGGAAGGCUCAGCCUCAGAUACCAGCGACCCCACCCGGCUGGCCGCCGGUGGCCCCGCAGACCCCGAGACGCACGUCCCCGCUGCCCUGCGGACAGCACCCAGG
rnacentral:lncRNA from 1 species